CCUAAAGCUUUUGAUGAACGGGGUCCAAUCAUAUGCCCCCCCCAAAAAGCUGUGAGCUUUGAGGAAUUGAGGAGGACCACUCGAUGAGGGGAAUUUCUGAAUAAAGGGAUCAUAUCUAGAAUGAGUGAGUAUUCUUUUGAUUGCUGAAUCUACUUGGAGAAAGAAUCCUUUGGUGGUAGAAUGUUCGAAAAGAUAAGGAGGAGAAGAAUGAUCUCAUCUUCGAACCAAUGGGAAUUAUGAAAUCUUUAUGCUUAAAAGAGGUGAUAUACGUGACUACAAGUUGCAUGCAGGUUCUUCAGAACCAUUCGGCUGAUUUGCAGAGAUUGGAUUGGGCGCUUUGAAAUGUGGUCUGGAAAAUGAAAAACAAGUGAUCUUGGUGAACAUAAAAUGAAAUUGCUAUGAGCUUCAAUAGUAAUCUCCUCUAAUGUACUCAUUUAGUUGCUUCAAUUCCCCGCUUUGCUGCUCCACUACUGCUCGAACAACAUCUUUGAUCGAAAUCAUGCCAA